AGGAAAAGAAACCAACAGGGAUUGCCUUAGUAACUGCGAGUGAAGCGCAAAAGCUCAAAUUUGAAAACCGGCAACACCAGCCGGCAGUGUAAUUUGAAGGGACAUCUUCGGAGCUGGCGCCGUCUUAAGUUCUUUGGAACCGGACAUCAUAGAGGGUGAGAAUCCCGUGCCUGGGUGGCUGUCCGCUCCGUGUGAAGUGUCUCCGACGAGUCGAGUUGUUUGGGAAUGCAGCUCAAAAUGGGUGGUAAAUUUCAUCUAAAGCUAAAUAUUGGCGAGAGACCGAUAGCGCACAAGUAGAGUGAUCGAAAGAUGAAAAGCACUUUGAAAAGAGAGUUAAAUAGUACGUGAAAUUGUUGAAAGGGAAGCGCUUGAGACUAGAUUCAG
rnacentral:rRNA from 1 species